rnacentral:misc_RNA from 1 species
AACGGUCUAUACCUGCGGUACCUGCGGAAGGAUCAUUAUUGAGUGUUAACCUACACCCCGUAAAAAAGGGUGUGGUACCUCCUGUCCUUUGCAGGCCCCUUUUAUUGGGGGCUUUUUUAAGACUUUCUGCUUCGGCGGGGUAACUCCCGCCGGAACACCCUCAAAAAAAUCUUGAAUUUAAAAAACCGUUCAGUCCGAGAAAUUUUUUAAAAAUUAAAAAAAAACUUUUAACAAUGGAUC